rnacentral:rRNA from 1 species
UACGUAGGGUGCGAGCGUUAAUCGGAAUUACUGGGCGUAAAGCGUGCGCAGGCGGUAAGUUAAGUCUGAUGUGAAAGCCCAGAGCUCAACUCUGGAACUGCCCUUGAAACUGUCUGGCUUGAGUCCGGAAGGGGCGAGUGGAAUUCCUGGUGUAGCGGUGAAAUGCGCAGAUAUCAGGAGGAACACCAAUGGCGAAGGCAGCUCGCUGGAACGGUACUGACGCUGAGGCGCGAAAGCGUGGGGAGCGAACAGG